GAUGAACGCUGGCGGCGUGCCUAAUACAUGCAAGUCGAGCGAACAGACGAGGAGCUUGCUCCUCUGACGUUAGCGGCGGACGGGUGAGUAACACGUGGAUAACCUACCUAUAAGACUGGGAUAACUUCGGGAAACCGGAGCUAAUACCGGAUAAUAUAUUGAACCGCAUGGUUCAAUAGUGAAAGACGGUUUUGCUGUCACUUAUAGAUGGUUCCGCGCCGCAUUAGCUAGUUGGUAAGGUAACGGCUUACCAAGGCAACGAUGCGUAGCCGACCUGAGAGGGUGAUAGGCCACACUGGAACUGAGACACGGUCCAGACUCCUACGGGAGGCAGCAGUCGGGAAUCGUACGCAGUGGGCGAAAGCCUGACAGAGCAACGCCGCGUGAGAGAUGAAGGUCUUCGGAUCGUAAAACUCUGUUAUUAGGGAAGAACAAAUGUGUACGUAACUAUGCACGUAUUGACGGUACCUAAUCAGAAAGCCACGGCUAACUACGUG
rnacentral:rRNA from 1 species